rnacentral:lncRNA from 15 species
CCUCAGGCUCCACCUACUGCGGGUUUUAGUUGGUUAGGUUUCGCUCUCGUCUUUCCCCCAACUGUCCCCACUUCCUACAUUCAUUCAUUACACCAUCAUUCAACCUCUCUGCUACACUCCAGUGACUCCUUCCACUGCCAGCCCACUCAACCACAUUAGUCCCUAACAUUGCACUCUUUAAAGUACUCAUCAUGAGGAAAUCUUAACGUAUCUGCCAAGUAGCAAAAUGCUGAUACUGAACAGAUCAGUAAAAUGUUCACUGACUACAUAUUUUUUUUUAAAUGUAACAAGCAACUACAUUUCCUCAUAAAAUAUAACUUGCAAAAGAAUUGAGGACCACAAAGAGAACACAAUUAAUAACAACUCAUAACUCAUAAAUAACACAGGUAACAAAUGUUUGCUCAAAGGAACUUGUACUCUGGUUUUACUCAAAUCAAACCAUGUAACUAACCUUUCUGACUACAAACCUCAGUUAAACAGUGAGCAGUUCUGCUGGGACUGUUACAGAUAAUGCUGUGAUAUACAAAUACUGAAAGAAAGAGGAAGAAGACACAAAGACGGGCAUAUUAACGUUUCUCAGGAAACGAGGCUGUGCAACAAAUGAGAAGAGGAACUGACAAACAAACUGGAGUUUAAUAGUCUCAAUAGUUUCACUGAUCAUCCAAGAUCAUCAAAAUGAGAAGCUCUCUUCUACUGCUCCUCUCCCUGAUGACAGGUUGUUGAGGAAGGAGUAUAAAAAUAAAGGGGAAGGACCAGUGUUUAGGUAACAUACAACAGACAUUCAAGAAACGCUUCAGACCGACCGACUGUAGAAGUGAAAUAACCAGCUAGAGUUUAAUAAUAUGACCAAGGAGCAGCAAGACCAACAUGAUGAAGAUCUUUCUGCUCCUCCUCUCACUGAUGGCAGGCUGUGAGGCCUCAACUGAAGUGAAGGUUUGCAGAGACGGAUGGGUUGAAUUCUACUGCAAAUAUAAAGAGAACUUUGGGGAAUACGAGUGUGAAUUUUUUCAAGACCAGAACUCACCAGACGAAGUUGAAGAUGAAGUUAAAGUGGCAGCUGAGACAGAUGGCUGCCAGGGACAAUUUAACCAAACUGUGUACAGAACGGCUAAAACCACCAUCACAUGUGAUUAUCCAGAAAACAAACACAGGUUCAGUGACAAGUUUCUCUGCAGAGAGAAUAAAUUCACUUGUGAGGAGAUUUUAUCAACGAGAUCUUCUGUAAAGUCAAACAGAAAAUACAAUCUCACAGAAACCAACAGAGGAUUCAGUGUGUCCAUCAGUAAUGUGUCCUCACAUGAUGCUGGUCUCUACUGGUGUGGAGUGAAUAAAGGAAAUUACCAAACUGGACUCAGAAAAAUCCAACUGGAGGUUGAAGGUGAGCAGCACACAUCUGACACUUCUAGGUUUGAUUCACUCACACAUAUAACUGAGGUCUCUCUGAAAUAUGUUGUUAAAUACAGUCAAUGCUGUCUGUCUACAGAUAUUACGACAUUCGCAAGGUCUCCAACUAUUGGACAGAAUUUUACAUACUGGUGUGAAUAUCCAAAUGGUGCUCCGAUAAAGAAAUUCAUCUGUAAGGGAGAAGAUCCAUCUAUAUGUCAACCUCUAGUAAACACUGUACAGCGCAACAUGAACAACGGAAAGUUUUCCAUGAAGGAAGACAAAUUAAAGAGAAAUGUAACCAUAACAGUGAGAGAAGUAACAGCAGACGACAGUGGGACAUACUGGUGUGGAGCAGAAAGCACUGACACAAGACGCAGUAACACAUUCUUCCACAGAUGCUUGUUGACUGUAGGUGAGUGGUCACAUUAUUUUAUUGUUUGGAUGUAAUCUGACUCCUGUUUAUAUGUAAACCUGACAAUUUGAUUACCAGGUUCAUGAUGGCAUUUUCUUUCUUUUUUUUAUGGAUUUUCUUUACCAGAUUUUACCAAAUUAUAUUUCUUAUUUUCUUACACUUCUAC